UACGUAGGGUGCGAGCGUUAAUCGGAAUUACUGGGCGUAAAGGGUGCGCAGGCGGCUUGCUAAGACAGGUGUGAAAGCCCCGAGCUUAACUUGGGAAUGGCGCUUGUGACUGGCAGGCUGGAGUGUGGCAGAGGGAGGUGGAAUUCCACGUGUAGCAGUGAAAUGCGUAGAGAUGUGGAGGAACACCGAUGGCGAAGGCAGCCUCCUGGGCCAACACUGACGCUCAUGCACGAAAACGUGGGGAGCAAACAGG
rnacentral:rRNA from 1 species